rnacentral:rRNA from 1 species
CCUACGGGUGGCAGCAGUGAGGAAUAUUGGUCAAUGGGCGCAAGCCUGAACCAGCCACGCCGCGUGCAGGAUGAAGGCCCUACGGGUUGUAAACUUCUUUUGUAAAGGAGUAAAGUGAGGCACGUGUGCCUUUUUGUCUGUACUUUAUGAAUAAGGAUCGGCUAACUCCGUGCCAGCAGCCGCGGUAAUACGGAGGAUCCGAGCGUUAUCCGGAUUUAUUGGGUUUAAAGGGUGCGUAGAUGGGUGGUUAAGUCAGUGGUGAAAGUUUGCGGCUCAACCUUAAAAUUGCAAUUGAUACUGGCAGGCUUGAGUGCAGUUGCGGUAGGCGGAAUGCGUGGUGUAGCGGUGAAAUGCUUAGAUAUCACGAAGAACACCGAUUGCGAAGGCAGCUUACUAAACUGCCACUGACAUUGAGGCUCGAAAGCGUGGGGAUCAAACAGGAUUAGAUACCCGAGUAGUC